CAAAAAUCCCAAUUCUGAAACAUAAACUAAUAUCCUUCAUGGAGACGCAGCUCCUAAAAUAACUGAAAAUAAAAUAUGAUCACUAUUAUUAGACUCUAGCCCACUCCAAUCAAAUCCAACUCCAAAGCCUUGCCAAUAACAUUAACCUGAAAUUUGUAAGUCGUGAGCUACACAGCCCAGUAAGAAAACAAAUUCGACUAACAGACCAAAAACUAUCAAGACUUGCCAUUGUUCACAAUUUCAUAACCAAAAAUCAUAAACCAAUAUUUCAUAAAGUAAAUUCCACAGUUCGCUAGGCCACUAAUACCCGGUGGCACGGUAUCAUUGGUUCAUAGGUGUCAAUAAUGCGCCCCUUACUAAGGUAUCAUAAAUUGUGCCAAGCACGCCCUAGUAAGGUAUCAUAAUCUAGUUCCGGAACUAUACGCAAUUACUAACAGGUUCAUAAUUCAUAGCUAGCUGGGAAUUCCUUAUAUCUAAAAUAUUUUAUCAAUCCCAAACUUUCACAACAAAGCAGUAUAAAGCAUUUGAAACAAUUCUGAAAGUGCGAAAAGUAAUCUUACCUUAGCAAAACAAUCACUUAUAACUCGCAGCACUGAGCCCUACACAGAUUUUUAAUCAUAAAAUAAAGGAUUAUCAGUCUACUAGACAAUAAGAAUACAAUCUUUUUAACCCUAUGAUUUCUAACAGUACACCAGUAAGGUUUAGGACUAACAUAUAUUAAAUAUAAUAUAACCUUGCCCAACUGGCCAACACUGAUACACUGACCAAACCUGAUAUCCAAGGAACAGGAGUAAAAACAUUAUUUAAUAAAUAAUUAAGAACUAAACAAAAUCUCUUUUUUUUUUUUUGUUUUCAGAAAACAUCUUUUAUAAAAAUAUUUUAAUGUACACAAAAUCAAUUAUAUGAAAAAAGUAGCUAAAAUAAUUUAUUUGUUUCCAAAUCAAAAUAUAUAGUAAUUAAUAACAUGGUAAAUAAAUAUUAAAAACAUUUGCCAAACACAAAUAUCAUUGGUAACACAUUUUUAACACAUCCACACAUAUUACCGAUGCAUAAAAUACACAUAUAUAUAAUUCGUAAAAUCAUGGAAAAUAUAAUAAAUUAAAUAUAAGAAAAUAUAUAUUUGAAGAAAACCUUUUUCAUGUUGCAGAACACUUAUUUUCAAAAAUAUAAGUAACCUUCAUAUGAGAUACAGUAUACAUUAAGAAUAUAACCAAAUAGAGAAUAAUCUUCAUUUACAUAACAAUAUCAGUACACAAUCAGAAUAACAGAGAGAAUAACAGGAGGGUUUGAAAACGUACUGUACAUAACCUAUUUUUUAUCUAUCAGUAUCACUACACAAUCAGAGAUAUCAGUAUAACUACACAAUCAGAGAGAAUGACAGGAGGGUUUCAAAACAUACUGUACGUAACCUAUUUUUUAUAUCACAGCUUCAUCAGUAUAGAAAUAUAAAGAAAACACAACGACAGUAGAGAAUAACAGUAGGGUUAAAAGAAAGCGUACCUUUUGUGGUUAAAACCUUCACAAGGCUACGGUAUAUAUAAGCUAUAACCUAUUUGUUACGUAAAAGAUAUCUUAAUUAACAGUACUAAUCAUAAUAAGGAUAAACCUUACGUAUUAAAAAUAGGACACGGAUGUUUACUCUUUUUAAAACUAAAACCACAUAAUAUUUAUAAAACCUUAUAAACCAAACAUUAAUAAAAUCUUAUUAACAACAUACUUUUAAAUCCUACACAAUAAAAUACUAAUAAUAUAUUUCAUAAUAAAAUAAAAUCUUGCAAUUUAAAAUAUCAGUAAAAGUUUUCACAAUAAAAUAUUUGCAUCAUAAAAUACUAAUAAAAUAUUGCACAAUAAAUACUUUUUCAAAAAUUUAUACAAUACAUAUAUAUAUACAUAACAAUUAAAUAUAAAAAAAAUUACGAAUAUUACAUUCUACCCUCCUUAAAAAAAAUUUGGUCCCCAAAUUUACACCUAAAGACAUACAUGUAAUGUACUCUUAAAAUAAAAUAAAAAUAGGGAAAAUCUUACCUUAAUUUUCUUUCGGUUCGUGUUGGUAUACUCGCCCAUAAUUUGGACCAAGUAAAGCCGCUAAGGUUGCUUUGUUCCCAUUGUCUUUGUCUCUGGUUGGGUCACGUUUUGGACAUUCAGCAACUCUAUGUCCCAUCUCACCGCAACUGAAACAUGCUCCUGUGUUCCAUCGGCAGUCCUUAUCCAAGUGAUUACGACCACACCUUGAACAUUGAAGCUUUCCCCCUUGAUUCCCUUUGUUUGCAUUUCCACCCGUUCCUCGAUUGUUAAACUUCUUCGACGAUCCAGUACCAUUAAAUCCUCCUGAAGGCUCGCUUCGCUUCUUAGUUUCUUCAUCUUUCUUCUUUAAUGCCUCGACCAUGCCCCUUUCAACCACUAAUGCCUUGUUAAGUACUUGCUCAUACGUGGUUAACUCAAAAUUUGCAACAGCAUGCCUAAUAUUUUCCCUAAGUCCUUCCUCCAAUCUUUUAGCCCGACUGAUCUCGUCAGCAACUAAGGUAGGAGCAUAUUUGGAGAGCCUCGCAAACUCUGCUUCAUACUCUACUACCGUCCGAUCUCCCUGCUCAAGCCUAAUGAAAUCCCUCUCUUUUUGCACACGAAUAGUUCUUGGAAAGUAUUUAUCUGUCAAUGCCGUCUUGAAUCUAUCCCAUGUCAUCGGAUCAGCAUUUUCCUCAUUCCUCCUUUGCUCCAUCAGCCACCAAUCAUAUGCACUGCCCUGUAAUUGAUACACAGCUAAAGUAACCUUUUGCCCAUCAUUACUUCCCAUCAAUUCAAAUGCCUUUUCCAUCUCUUGGAUCCAUUUUUCCACAAUAGCAGGGUCAGUUGCACCAUCAAAUGUUGGGGGGUUCAAACGCUUGAAUUCUGACACAAUACUUCGUUGAGCUGGUUGUUGAUUCCCAACGAGUGUUGCCAAGGUUUGCGCGAGCUGGUUCAACAUAUUUCCACCCUCAUUAUUAUUGUUAUUGUUAUUGUUUCCACCGCUUCCGUUGUUUCUGUUGUUGCGAUUGUUAGCACCUCCACGUCGAGCACUCAUGAUUCCUUCAAACAAGAAUAAACUAUCUAUAAUAUGGAUCAUAAUUAUCAAGAAGGUAGAUAUAUUCAUAAUCCAAUAAAUGAAAUUCAUAAAAAUGUUAAAACAAUAAUACUAAAUUUAUUAAUCUAGGCUCGAAAUAGGCCACAAAAUGUGUCUUCAAACAAUACCAAAUAAAAACUAGACCUACGCGACUUGAUAUUUAAGAGAAACAAUCCAUAAACCAAACUAUCUAAAUAAUAAACUAAAUUUCUUCUAAAAUCUCAGUCACCCUUGCUCUAGUCGUCGCGAUUGCUCUUCGAUGCCCUUGUAGAAAAUCCGUGGUGAUCCUCUUGAUCCAUGCGGGACAUCGCGAUAAUGGCCAUCGACAAAUAAAGUUUAUUGAACGUUCGGAGGCUCUAGUAUCCCUUCUUACUAUUUCCAGCACUCUAGCAGCCUUAUCUUUUUGAUGUCGGCAGUCCUUAAGAUGGUUUAUGUAAGCUGUGUAAAGAACAUUAUAUUUCAUUUCUAAAUUAAACUUUGCUCCCUCAGCUUCUUCUUCUCUAAGUUUGAGUUUCAAUUUUAGUAAUGCAUUCUCUCCCUUUAACUUGGCUAUCUCAUCAUCCCUACAUGGCUGACACACAACCUCGGGAAAGGAAGAUUCCUUAACCGAGUCCUCACUAUCAUAAUCGGGUUGAGGAGCAUCCUCAUCUAUCUCGAGUGAAAUUACAGAUUCAAUGUCCUCCUCGGGGUCUUCCUCAAAAUCGUCCUCAAACUCUUCAUCCAGACCCCAAACAUUGUCAUUAUCUGCCAUCUACACAAAUUUUAAAAACGAUAUAUUAAAAAUUUGUUUCUAAAGAUAAUUCUUUAUCCCUAACGACAUAACUUAAUCCUAGCAGAUAGUCUACAGGAAGCUAACCUAGGCUCUGAAUACCAACUGUAACAGCCCGAUUUUUCGGACUAUUAUCAUUCUAUCAAAUAAUAGAAAUUCCACAUUUAAUCCAUAAAUAAUAUAAAGAAAGUCACAUAAUAUCAUAAAUCAAUCUCUCAAAAAUCUCAAUUCUGAAACAUAAACUAAUAUCCUUCAUGGAGACGCAGCUCCUAAAAUAACUGAAAAUAAAAUAUGAUCACUAUUAUUAGACUCUAGCCCACUCCAAUCAAAUCCAACUCCAAAGCCUUGCCAAUAACAUUAACCUGAAAUUUGUAAGUCGUGAGCUACACAGCCCAGUAAGAAAACAAAUUCGACUAACAGACCAAAAACUAUCAAGACUUGCCAUUGUUCACAAUUUCAUAACCAAAAAUCAUAAACCAAUAUUUCAUAAAGUAAAUUCCACAGUUCGCUAGGCCACUAAUACCCGGUGGCACGGUAUCAUUGGUUCAUAGGUGUCAAUAAUGCGCCCCUUACUAAGGUAUCAUAAAUUGUGCCAAGCACGCCCUAGUAAGGUAUCAUAAUCUAGUUCCGGAACUAUACGCAAUUACUAACAGGUUCAUAAUUCAUAGCUAGCUGGGAAUUCCUUAUAUCUAAAAUAUUUUAUCAAUCCCAAACUUUCACAACAAAGCAGUAUAAAGCAUUUGAAACAAUUCUGAAAGUGCGAAAAGUAAUCUUACCUUAGCAAAACAAUCACUUAUAACUCGCAGCACUGAGCCCUACACAGAUUUUUAAUCAUAAAAUAAAGGAUUAUCAGUCUACUAGACAAUAAGAAUACAAUCUUUUUAACCCUAUGAUUUCUAACAGUACACCAGUAAGGUUUAGGACUAGCAUAUAUUUUAACCCUGCCCACCUGGCCAACACUGAUACUGAUAUUUAUAUAAUCUGACACUGCCCAACUGACCAAACCUGAUAUCCAAGCAACAGGAGUAAACUAUUACUUUCAAAUAAAUUAAGAACUAAUAAAAAUCUCUUUUCUUUUGUUUCCAGAAAACAUCUUAUAUAAAAAUAUUUUA
rnacentral:lncRNA from 1 species